AUUGAACGCUGGCGGCAUGCCUAACACAUGCAAGUCGAACGGCAGCACGGGGGCAACCCUGGUGGCGAGUGGCGGACGGGUGAGGAAUACAUAGGAAUCUACCCUGUCGUGGGGGAUAACGUAGGGAAACUUACGCUAAUACCGCAUACGACCGAGAGGUGAAAGUGGGGGACCGCAAGGCCUCACGCGAUUGGAUGAGCCUAUGUCCGAUUAGCUAGUUGGCGGGGUAAGAGCCCACCAAGGCGACGAUCGGUAGCUGGUCUGAGAGGAUGAUCAGCCACACUGGAACUGAGACACGGUCCAGACUCCUACGGGAGGCAGCAGUGGGGAAUAUUGGACAAUGGGGGCAACCCUGAUCCAGCAAUGCCGCGUGGGUGAAGAAGGCCUUCGGGUUGUAAAGCCCUUUUGUACGGGAAGAAAAGCUCUGGAUUAAUACUUCGGGGUCAUGACGGUACCGUAAGAAUAAGCACCGGCUAACUUCGUGCCAGCCGCCGCGGUAAGAC
rnacentral:rRNA from 1 species